rnacentral:rRNA from 1 species
CAGCCGCCGCGGGAAUACGAAGGGUGCAAGCGUUACUCGGAAUUACUGGGCGUAAAGCGUGCGUAGGUGGUGGUUUAAGUCCGUUGUGAAAGCCCUGGGCUCAACCUGGGAAUUGCAGUGGAUACUGGGUCACUAGAGUGUGGUAGAGGAUAGUGGAAUUUCCGGUGUAGCAGUGAAAUGCGUAGAGAUCGGAAGGAACAUCUGUGGCGAAGGCGACUAUCUGGGCCAACACUGACACUGAGGCACGAAAGCGUGGGGAGCAAACAGGAUUAGAUACCCCUGUAGUCCCUGUCUCUUAUAC